CGGGGGUCGGGGGCUGGGCCUCAAUGCCUCCACUGGAGUAAGGGCAGGGAGCGCAGAGGGCAUUUCAGAAGUGGCUGUGGCCUCUUGCUGGCCUGCAAAUUCGUCAUGCAUUUUCCCAGAGUUUGAGGAGCGGGGGCAGGAGAGCACCCUCUGGAUGGAGAGGAGAUUGGACUUCAGGGUCCGGGAAGCCGUCUUCGUCCAUGGGACUUGAGGGGCCUCAUCGCUGAACUGUUCUGUGGGGGCCGUGGGGAGUUGGGGAUUGUGUGCAAGCAGCUGGCUUUGCUGGGACUAGGCUCAGCUUUGACCGCUGGGCUAACCUCCUCCCCAUCCUGCCUCCUUAUAGAAAUACCAGAAUGAGUUCAACACCAAUGUGGCCAUGGCAGAGAUUUAUAAGUACGCCAAGAGGUAUCGGCCGCAGAUCAUGGCCGCGCUGGAGGCCAACCCCACGGCCCGGAGGACACAACUGCAGCACAAGUUUGAGCAGGUGGUGGCUUUGAUGGAGGACAACAUCUACGAGUGCUACAGUGAGGCCUGAGACACAUGGAGAGUUGGUCAGGCUGCUGCUGGGAGAAAUGGACGCCCACUGGGCCUCAACUUGAUCUUCUACCCCGUGCCUGUGACUCAGACUGGGAAAUACUGAGCAGAGACGGCUGGGGCGGGGGCAGGAGGAGGGGCUGCUCUCUGAGACAGGGGCGCCCCCGCCUUGACCCCUGGGCACCUCCAUCCCCUCCCACCUGUCCCCAGAUCAGUCUCUGGGAUGGAGGCCAGAGAGCUGGUCAGGCUCCCCCAUCUGCCCAGCACGGCCUGCACUGUGCCCACCCACUUGCUCCACAACGUCCAGUUGGUCCUGCUGCCAAGAGCCCCGUGCAUCCAGGCGGCCAAGCACAAACUGGGGGAGAGGAGGCCGCCAGCCCGGAGGCUGCAGCCCAGAAACUCUACCUCAUCCACACUGGUGCAGGGAGCCCUCCUUGAACUGACCUUUGAUUGGUUUCUGCUUCAACUACCAAAAUGUUAUCUCCACUUCCCCCUCACCCGUAGAGGAUCCUGGCCACAGACAGUUUCAAGUAGUGUCAGAUUUUUGUUGCUUGGGCGGCUGUUGGUAGAGUGGGCAGUGCCCGCGCCAUGGGGUGCUCUGUGGGCUUCUCCAGGAGCAGGGAGGGUGGAGGGGAGGGAUGGGGGGCACAGGAGCUGGGAGCCCCGUCUCCAGGAAAAGGAGAGGGGUUAAGAUGCACCGAGGCUGUAGCUGGGCUACUUGAUCUUGCUGAAAGUGUUUCUAAAGAUAGCACCACUUUUUUUUUUAAAGCUUUUAUAUAUUAAAAAACGUAUCAUGCACCAACUGUGAAUAGCUGCCGCUUGCGCAGAGGACCCGGGGAGGGGUCCCGAGAGGCUCCCCAUGCAACACUGGAAAUGACUGUUCCAGAGAGCGGGCAGACCUGGCAGAGCGCCCCUGGCGCCUGAGACUACCACCCACUCCGUUCCUGCCAGAAACGACCCUCUGUGGCCGAUGGGCCAUGCGGGCCCCUCGCAGCCAACUCAGCCAGUGUUGGGACUGGCUCAGAGCCCAUGGGGGCUGGAGGGGGGCAGCUGGGACUCUGGAAUCUUCUUUAUAAUAAAAGCCUUACGGACAAACCUA
rnacentral:lncRNA from 1 species